UAGAGUUUGAUCCUGGCUCAGAUUGAACGCUGGCGGCAGGCCUAACACAUGCAAGUCGAGCGGUAACACACGGGAGCUUGCUCCUGAGGUGACGAGCGGCGGACGGGUGAGUAAUGCCUAGGUAUCUGCCCAGUCGAGGGGGAUAACAGUUGGAAACGACUGCUAAUGCCGCAUACGCCCUACGGGGGAAAGGAGGGGACCUUCGGGCCUUUCGCGAUUGGAUGAACCUAGGUGGGAUUAGCUAGUAGGUGGGGUAAUGGCUCACCUAGGCGACGAUCCCUAGCUGGUCUGAGAGGAUGAUCAGCCACACUGGAACUGAGACACGGUCCAGACUCCUACGGGAGGCAGCAGUGGGGAAUAUUGCACAAUGGGCGAAAGCCUGAUGCAGCCAUGCCGCGUGUAUGAAGAAGGCCUUCGGGUUGUAAAGUACUUUCAGCGUGGAGGAAAGCUCAAUUGUUAAUAGCAGUUGGGUGUGACGUUACUCGCAGAAGAAGCACCGGCUAACUUCGUGCCAGCAGCCGCGGUAAUACGAGGGGUGCAAGCGUUAAUCGGAAUUACUGGGCGUAAAGCGUACGCAGGCGGUUUGUUAAGCGAGAUGUGAAAGCCCCGGGCUCAACCUGGGAACUGCAUUUCGAACUGGCAAACUAGAGUCCUGUAGAGGGGGGUAGAAUUUCA
rnacentral:rRNA from 1 species